rnacentral:rRNA from 1 species
GAUGAACGCUGGCGGCGUGCUUAACACAUGCAAGUCGAACGGAAAGGCCCUGCUUGCAGGGUCCUCGAGUGGCGAACGGGUGAGUAACACGUGGGUGAUCUGCCCUCUACUUUUGGAUAAGCCUUGGAAACGGGGUCUAAUACCUAAUAUGACAAUUGUUUGGAUGCGGUUGUGGAAAGCUUUUGCGGUAUGGGAUGAGGUCGCGGCCUAUCAGCUCGUUGGUGGGGUAAUGGCCUACCAAGGCGUCGACGGGUAGCCGGCAUGAUAGGAUGUACGGCCACACUGGACACCAAAGACGGCCAAGACUACGACGGGAGGCAGAAGGGGCGAAUACUGCACAAUGGGAGCAAGCGUGAGGCAGCAAGGCCGCGUGGGGGAUGAACGCCUUUGGGUUGUAAGAUCCUUUGGCAACCGACAAAGCCCUUUGGUGACGGUAGCUUGAGAAGAAGCACCGGCUAACUACGUG